rnacentral:rRNA from 1 species
GACGAACGCUGGCGGCGUGCUUAACACAUGCAAGUCGAACGGAAAGGCCCUGCUUUUGUGGGGUGCUCGAGUGGCGAACGGGUGAGUAACACGUGAGUAACCUGCCCUUUACUUUGGGAUAACUUCAGGAAACUGGUGCUAAUACCGGAUAGGAGCUCCUGCUGCAUGGUGGGGGUUGGAAAGUUUCGGCGGUUGGGGAUGGACUCGCGGCUUAUCAGCUUGUUGGUGGGGUAGUGGCUUACCAAGGCUUUGACGGGUAGCCGGCCUGAGAGGGUGACCGGCCACAUUGGGACUGAGAUACGGCCCAGACUCCUACGGGAGGCAGCAGUGGGGAAUAUUGCACAAUGGGCGGAAGCCUGAUGCAGCAACGCCGCGUGCGGGAUGACGGCCUUCGGGUUGUAAACCGCUUUCGCCUGUGACGAAGCGUGAGUGACGGUAAUGGGUAAAGAAGCACCGGCUAACUACGUG